rnacentral:rRNA from 1 species
AUUGAACGCUGGCGGCAUGCUUUACACAUGCAAGUCGAACGGUAACAGGCCGCAAGGUGCUGACGAGUGGCGAACGGGUGAGUAAUGCAUCGGAACGUGCCCAGUCGUGGGGGAUAACUACUCGAAAGAGUAGCUAAUACCGCAUACGAUCUAUGGAUGAAAGCGGGGGACCGUAAGGCCUCGCGCGAUUGGAGCGGCCGAUGUCAGAUUAGGUAGUUGGUGGGGUAAAGGCUCACCAAGCCAACGAUCUGUAGCUGGUCUGAGAGGACGACCAGCCACACUGGAACUGAGACACGGCCCAGACUCCUACGGGAGGCAGCAGUGGGGAAUUUUGGCCAAUGGGCGCAAGCCUGAUCCAGCAAUGCCGCGUGCAGGAAGAAGGCCUUCGGGUUGUAAACUGCUUUUGUACGGAACGAAACGGCUCUGGUUAAUACCCGGGGCUAAUGACGGUACCGUAAGAAUAAGCACCGGCUAACUACGUG